AACGAACGCUGGCGGCAGGCUUAACACAUGCAAGUCGAGCGCCCCGCAAGGGGAGCGGCAGACGGGUGAGUACCGCGUGGGAACGUACCUUUUGGUUCGGAACAACUCCGGGACACUGGAGCUAAUACCGGAUAAGCCCUAACGGGGAAAGAUUUAUCGCCGAAAGAUCGGCCCGCGUCUGAUUAGCUAGUUGGUGAGGUAACGGCUCACCAAGGCGACGAUCAGUAGCUGGUCUGAGAGGAUGAUCAGCCACACUGGGACUGAGACACGGCCCAGACUCCUACGGGAGGCAGCAGUGGGGAAUAUUGGACAAUGGGCGCAAGCCUGAUCCAGCCAUGCCGCGUGAGUGAUGAAGGCCUUAGGGUUGUAAAGCUCUUUUGUCCGGGAAGAUAAUGACUGUACCGGAAGAAUAAGCCCCGGCUAACCUCGUG
rnacentral:rRNA from 1 species